GUGAUCUUGAAAAAUCUCAGCUUGGAUUAGCUCAUAGCUACAGCAGAGCCAAGGUGAAGUUCAAUGUUAACUGAGUGGAUAACAUGGUUAUUCAAGCUAUUUUCCUCCUUGACACCCUUGACAAGGAUAUCAAUUCCUUUCCCAUGAGAGUCAGGGAAUGGUAUUCGUGGCACUUCCCCGAGCUAGUGAAGAUAGUUAAUGACAACUAUCUUUACGCCCUUGUUUUUUUUAAUAGCAAUGAAUAAAUGUGUUUUUAGUAUCAAUUGUUCUGAGACGGUUAUUUUCUUACUUGUUGACAGGCCAGGAUUUAUCACCAGUUGACCUGAGCAACGUACAGACCUUUGCUCAGAGUUAUGGAUCUUGCUGACUACAGGAAGAAGCUAACGUACAGACCUAAUUUGGCAGCUUUAAUUGUAUUUUUAUUUUUGAGUAAUGUCGGUUGCGUUUCACUUUUCAGUUUUACAGGCUGUAAGUUCUGCAAUCACAUGAUUACGUCGAAAAAAUAUCAUUCGAAGUGCA